rnacentral:rRNA from 1 species
AACGAACGCUGGCGGCAUGCCUAACACAUGCAAGUCGAACGAAGUCUUCGGACUUAGUGGCGCACGGGUGCGUAACGCGUGGGAAUCUGCCCUUGGGUACGGAAUAACUCAGAGAAAUUUGUGCUAAUACCGUAUAAUGUCUUCGGACCAAAGAUUUAUCGCCCAAGGAUGGGCCCGCGUAAGAUUAGCUAGUUGGUGGGGUAAAAGCCUACCAAGGCGACGAUCUUUAGCUGGUCUGAGAGGAUGAUCAGCCACACUGGGACUGAGACACGGCCCAGACUCCUACGGGAGGCAGCAGUGGGGAAUAUUGGACAAUGGGCGAAAGCCUGAUCCAGCAAUGCCGCGUGAGUGAUGAAGGCCCUAGGGUUGUAAAGCUCUUUUACCAGGGAUGAUAAUGACAGUACCUGGAGAAUAAGCUCCGGCUAACUCCGUG